ACUUGGUGAUAGCUGGUUCUCUCCGAAAUGUCUUUAGGGACAGCGUUAUACGUUGCGCUUUGGAGGUAGAGCACUGAUUGGGCUAGGGGGCCAACAAGCUUACUGAACUCAGUCAAACUCCGAAUGCCAAAGUGUUUAAAUAUAGCAGUGAGCCUAUGGGGGAUAAGCUCCAUAGACGAGAGGGAAACAACCCAGAUCAUCAGCUAAGGCCCCUAAAUGUAUGUUAAGUGUGAAACGAUGUGAGAGUGUUCAGACAGCCAGGAGGUUGGCUUAGAAGCAGCCAUUCCUUUAAAGAGUGCGUAACAGCUCACUGGUCGAAUGUUCUCGCGCGGAAGAUGUAACGGGGCUAAACAUACUGCCGAAGCUAUGGGAUCUUAUUAAUUCAGAUUUCGAUCCAGAAGAUAAGAUCGGUAGGAGAGCGUUGUAUGGACGUCGAAGCGACAACGUGAGUUAGUCGUGGAGACCAUACAAGUGAGAAUGUUGGCAUGAGUAGCGAAGGAAGAGUGAGAAUCUCUUCCGCCGAAUGUCCAAGGGUUCCUGGGGAAGGUUCGUCCGCCCAGGGUUAGUCGGGACCUAAGGCGAGGUCGAGAGACGUAGUCGAUGGAUAACAGAUUGAUAUUUCUGUACCACUAAUUAAGCGCCCAAACCGAAUAUAUGUUGCUAAGGAAAGCCCUUCGGGGCCUACCGACCCACAUAUUACUAGGUUAGCAAUGGAGCGACGGAGAAGGAUAGAUGAUCCCAGGCGAUGGUUGUCCUGGGGUAAAUGAGUAGGAAGACUGAUAGGUAAAUCCGUUAGUCAUAAAUUCUGAGACAUGAUGCCGAGCCGCUUUUAGGCGAAGUCAUUAAUUCCAUACUUCCAAGAAAAACUUCUAGUUAGUUUUUUUAGUGCCCGUACCCCAAACCGACACAGGUGGACAAGUAGAGAAUACUAAGGCGAGCGAGAUAACUCUGGUUAAGGAACUCGGCAAAAUAGUUCCGUAACUUCGGGAGAAGGAACGCCCAAGUAAAGUGAUUAAUUAACUUUAUGAGCUUGAACGGGCCGCAGUGACUAGACUCAAGCGACUGUUUAUCAAAAACACAGGAGGGUGCAAAGUUCUAAUACAACGUAUACCCUCUGACACCUGCCCGGUGCUGGAAGGUUAAGUGGAGAGGUUAGCUUCGGCAAAGCUUUGAAAUUAAGCCCCAGUAAACGGCGGCCGUAACUAUAACGGUCCUAAGGUAGCGAAAUUCCUUGUCGGGUAAGUUCCGACCUGCACGAAUGGUGUAACGAUUUGAGUACUGUCUCAACCAGAGACUCGGCGAAAUUGCAAUGUGAGUAAAGAUGCUCACUAUGCGCGACAGGACGGAAAGACCCCGGAACCUUUACUGCAACUUGAUAUUGAAGUUUGGUGUGCAGUAUGCAGGAUAAGUGGGAGACUUUGAAACAGCGGCGCUAGUCGUUGUGGAGUCAUCCUUGAGAUACCACUUUCUUCAUAUUGAGCUUCUAACCUAGAUCCGUUAUCCGGAUCAGGGACAUUGUCUGGUGGGCAGUUUCACUGGGGCGGUGGCCUCCUAAAAAGUAACGGAGGCGCUCUAAGGUCACCUCAGCGUGGACGGCAAUCACGCAUUGAGUGUAAGUGCAAAAGGUGGCUUGACUGUGACACAAACAAGUGGAGCAGGUACGAAAGUAGGAACUAGUGAUCCCAUGGUUGCAUGUGGGUGCGCCAUGGCUCAUCGGCUAAAAGGUACUCCGGGGAUAACAGGCUUAUACCCCCCAAGAGUCCAUAUCGACGGGGGUGUUUGGCACCUCGAUGUCGGCUCUUCUCAUCCUGGGGCUGGAGCAGGUCCCAAGGGUUAGGCUGUUCGCCUAUUAAAGAGGAACGCGAGCUGGGUUCAGAACGUCGUGAGACAGUUCGGUCCCUAUCCGUCGCGCACGCAAGAGUUUUGAAGAAAGUUGUCCCUAGUACGAGAGGACCGGGAUGAACGAACCGCUGGUGUGCCAGUUGUCCUGCCAAGGGCACGGCUGGUUAGCUACGUUCGGAAAGGAUAAGCGCUGAAAGCAUCUAAGUGCGAAGCCCCUUCUAAGAUAAGAACUCUCACCGGAUUAACCGGUUAAGACUCCUUAUAGAACAUGAGGUUGAUAGGUCAGAAGUGUAAGUACAGUAAUGUAUUCAGCUGACUGAUACUAAUAAGUCGAGGGCUUGAGCUG
rnacentral:rRNA from 1 species